UUUUUGUUUUUUCCAUUUUAAACUAUGAUGGUGUUUUUUAACUGUUUAUAUCCCUUAUAACCUCUCCAUUUUUUCAUUUGAUUAUUGUUCCUCUAGCAGUAUUAAAAUGAAGAUACUUUAUGUAAAUAUGACCAGCGUUGAAACUAAAAGUUGAGUGUAACUGCAGUAAAAUUGAAUAAAUAUCUGCAUUCCAGGUAAUGUUACUACUAAUGUAUUAUUUUGUCCUGUCUUAUUAAAGCUUGUAGAUUUUCAGUGGAAACUGGGUAUGGCUGUGAGCUCAGACACUUGCAGAUCUCUUAAGUAUCCUUACGUUGCAGUGAUGCUAAAAGUGGCAGAUCAUUCAGGCCAAGUAAAGACCAAGUGCUUUGAAAUGACGAUUCCACAGUUUCAGAAUUUCUACAGACAGUUCAAGGAAAUUGCUGCAGUUAUUGAAACGGUGUGAAGACGGAUUCUUUGGUUGAUAAAUUGCUAUCAUUCUAAAGUCAUGGACUUCACUUUCGGCAACAAAACUAAAUAAGGAUGGAACAUUUAUUGAAUGAAAAAUGCACUUUUGUUUUUCCAUUUUUUUAAAUAAUAAAAAUCAGACAAACAGGAA
rnacentral:lncRNA from 1 species